rnacentral:rRNA from 1 species
CCUACGGGUGGCAGCAGUGGGGAAUAUUGGACAAUGGGCGAAAGCCUGAUCCAGCCAUGCCGCGUGUGUGAAGAAGGCCUUCGGGUUGUAAAGCACUUUCAGUGGGGAAGAAAGCCUUGGGGCUAAUACCCUCGAGGAAGGACAUCACCCACAGAAGAAGCACCGGCUAACUCCGUGCCAGCAGCCGCGGUAAUACGGAGGGUGCGAGCGUUAAUCGGAAUUACUGGGCGUAAAGCGCGCAGUAGGCGGUCUGAUAAGCCGGUUGUGAAAGCCCCGGGCUCAACCUGGGAACGGCAUCCGGAACUGUCAGGCUAGAGUGCAGGAGAGGAAGGUAGAAUUCCCGGUGUAGCGGUGAAAUGCGUAGAGAUCGGGAGGAAUACCAGUGGCGAAGGCGGCCUUCUGGACUGACACUGACGCUGAGGUGCGAAAGCGUGGGUAGCAAACAGGAUUAGAUACCCCAGUAGUC